GUUGUGCUGUUGUGAUGCAUCUGUUGGAGUCAUUUUCUGGGUAAAUUAUGAUAUGCAUGAGCAGUAGUUUCUGGUCAUAUUAUAUGAUAAUUGGAGUCUAGUUUACUCUCCAAAAAGAAUCAUUGCAUUUAGAUUAAUGAGUUGGGAGUUAUGAUUAUUUUAGUGAGGUAUGUGCAAUAAGCAAAACUGCUCCGAUUUUUGAUUUUAUAAAUUAUAGUUAAAUUACUUUGACUUUGAUUUUUAAGCCAAAACAAACUUUGUAGCUACUUGGGGAGUUCAGGAAAGUCUCCUCAAAAUUUCAAGUGAAAAUCAUAUAUUUCUGAUUUAUUAAAAAUGUUUGAAUGUCGGUAGCGCAACUUUGUGAAAAUUCUGUUUUAAGGUCACAAAGAGAGUUUUCUUCACAAAUUCAAAUAUAUGAGUUGAGUUGUGAUUUAUUAGAGUAUAAAUGUGUAUUACUGGUUAUUGGUCAGUAGUUGUUAAUUUGUUUGAUUUAAAAUUUGAUUGGUUGGUUGUUGGUAUUAUUUUCAAACAGGUGGAUAGUCCGAUAAAUAGAAGAGAUGCUGCCGAAAUUUCUAAAAAUAUUAAUUUUCAAAAUCUUAUCAGCACAUCCCUCAAGUAUGGUCAUCACUACUAGUCGAGAAUAUUGUAUGGGGAUUUUGUUUUUAUUAGAAAAUAUGUACAAACAAACAAUACUAGUUAUACAUGUAAUUUGGCGUAAAAUCUUUUCGAAGAUAGAUUUAUUUUUUUAGAUGUAUGUUAGUGGCUAUGGUAUGUGACUACUAUGUGUAGCAUGCUUAAGUGAUAUAUGCUUAUAUGCUUUAUAUAUGUUCCAAUGUGUAUGUGUACUCUUACUAGCCUAUGUGAUUAAAGGCAGUCAAUAAUAUUUAUAAUUAUCGAAAGGGUAUAUAUAAGUAGACGUUCAGGGUGAACGUCGAUUGAUUAUUAGGAUACUAAAAUAGUGUCUCUACGCGUGUAGAUUCAAAAGACGAGACUGUGAAACUUAGGAAAGGAAAGGCUUUGUUAGGUGACAGUUAGAGAAUUACUUGGCCAAGUGGGAAGCGAGUUGAGCUAAGCAAGAGGAAGAUGGCCAGUCCUAGGUGCUCAGUUCGUUAGGCUGUCUACAUCCCCCUCUCUAUUUCGUUAGAUUACUUUACCAGCUCAGCUAGAGGACGCUUUGGAUAUAGUCAGUGGGGAGUAAGUAUGUUAGUAUGGACCGUUGUAAACAGUACCUUUGAGAUGUUUUAUAUAAUUCCAAGUCGGAAUUAUGGUUGAUGCUAUUUAUUAAGGGUUUGUAAUAAGUUUAUAACUUAUUAUUUUGGUUAGUAGUUGUAACUUGUUUCAUACCAUCACCUGUUAAAGAUCCUUGUGGUGUAAAGGGGUUGAGUAUUUAUAUUGCUAAA